AAGCCUCCUCUUUGUCUUAUACCUCGUGCAUGCAUAAAACACUGUUUAAGCCACAAACAAAGUCAUUUCAGGU